AACGAACGCUGGCGGCAUGCCUAACACAUGCAAGUCGAACGAGACCUUCGGGUUUAGUGGCGCACGGGAGCGUAACGCGUGGGAACCUGCCCUUAGGUUCGGAAUAACUCCCCGAAAGGGGUGCUAAUACCGGAUAACGUCUUCGGACCAAAGAUUUAUCGCCUUUGGAUGGGCCCGCGUUGGAUUAGCUAGUUGGUAGGGUAAAAGCCUACCAAGGCGACGAUCCAUAGCUGGUCUGAGAGGAUGAUCAGCCACACUGGGACUGAGACACGGCCCAGACUCCUACGGGAGGCAGCAGUGGGGGAUAUUGGACAAUGGGCGGAAGCCUGAUCCAGCAAUGCCGCGUGAGUGAUGAAGGACUUAGGGUUGUAAAGCUCUUUUACCCGGGAUGAUAAUGACAGUACCGGGAGAAUAAGCUCCGGCUAACUCCGUG
rnacentral:rRNA from 1 species